rnacentral:rRNA from 1 species
AGUGAACGCUGGCGGUAGGCCUAACACAUGCAAGUCGAACGGCAGCACAGUAAGAGCUUGCUCUUACGGGUGGCGAGUGGCGGACGGGUGAGGAAUACAUCGGAAUCUACUUUUUCGUGGGGGAUAACGUAGGGAAACUUACGCUAAUACCGCAUACGACCUACGGGUGAAAGCAGGGGAUCUUCGGACCUUGCGCGAUUGAAUGAGCCGAUGUCGGAUUAGCUAGUUGGCGGGGUAAAGGCCCACCAAGGCGACGAUCCGUAGCUGGUCUGAGAGGAUGAUCAGCCACACUGGAACUGAGACACGGUCCAGACUCCUACGGGAGGCAGCAGUGGGGAAUAUUGGACGAUGGGCGAAAGCCUGAUCCAGCCAUACCGCGUGGGUGAAGAAGGCCUUCGGGUUGUAAAGCCCUUUUGUUGGGAAAGAAAAGCAGCAGGUUAAUACCCCGCUGUUCUGACGGUACCCAAAGAAUAAGCACCGGCUAACUUCGU